rnacentral:rRNA from 1 species
UACGUAGGGGGCUAGCGUUAUCCGGAAUUACUGGGCGUAAAGGGUGCGUAAGUGGUUUCUUAAGUCAGAGGUGAAAGGCUACGGCUCAACCGUAGUAAGCCUUUGAAACUGGGAAACUUGAGUGCAGGAGAGGAGAGUGGAAUUCCUAGUGUAGCGGUGAAAUGCGUAGAUAUUAGGAGGAACACCAGUAGCGAAGGCGGCUCUCUGGACUGUAACUGACGCUGAGGCAACGAAAGCGUGGGGAGC